rnacentral:rRNA from 1 species
CCUAGGGUGGCACCAGUGGGGAAUAUUGCACAAUGGAGGAAACUCUGAUGCAGCAACGCCGCGUGGAGGAUGACACUUUUCGGAGCGUAAACUCCUUUUAUAUAGGAAGAAGAUGACGGUACUAUAUGAAUAAGCGCCGGCUAACUCCGUGCCAGCAGCCGCGGUAAUACGGAGGGCGCAAGCGUUACUCGGAAUCACUGGGCGUAAAGAGCGUGUAGGCGGAUUAAAAAGUCAGAAGUGAAAUCCUAUAGCUUAACUAUAGAGCUGCUUCUGAAACUCUUAAUCUAGAAUAUGGGAGAGGUAGAUGGAAUUUCUGGUGUAGGGGUAAAAUCCGUAGAGAUCAGAAGGAAUACCGAUUGCGAAGGCGAUCUACUAGAACAUUAUUGACGCUGAGACGCGAAAGCGUGGGGAGCAAACAGGAUUAGAUACCCCGGUAGUC